CAGGAAUGGGCCGGAGUAGGGAGGGCUCAGGGAAGAGGGGGCUUGUAAAGAUGCAGUUCCUGCAUCCCCAGGCCCCUAACGCCGAAACGGAUCUGUCCCCAAACCCGGGACUCCCUGGUAGUGUGUGUGAGGACCGACCCUAACCAGGACACGGGAGAAGCCGCUGCCCUGCUGCCCUGCCAUCGUGGCAUGGGUCCUGGCCCACUCCUGCUGGGCAAGUGUGGACCUUGAGGGCGCAGCCAGCCUGUGGCCUGUGGACUUUCUCAUCCCUCUGCUCCCGAGGGGCCGUCCCGGCCGGUGGUGACCUCGAGGACUCAGAGUGUCAGAGUGGGCUGGCCACUUUAGCAUUUCCACCCCCCAUCCAGCUGCAGGUCCCUUCUGCACAGAUGCCUAGAGAGAACCCAGAGGAGGCGAGGGGGCUGCAGCCCCGGCAUAUGCAGACCCUCAGGAGGUGUCCAGAGGCAGGACCAGCCCAGCCCGCAGCCCCCUGGUGAUGAUGGACCUAGAAACCCCAGGCUGUCAAAGGUGCACCGGGUCCUUCUGGAUGGAAGGUCCAGCCCCGGGGCCCGAGUGUGAGGCGGCACUGCCCCCUGCUGGAGGCACCGGGGCAAAGCCCGGAGUCCCUUCCUGUCUGCAGGUGGUUCCUGCAGCCCCUUCCGCACUGGGUCCCGUCCCCUGCACGUACAGUCAGCAGGAGCUGCACGGAGCCUGCCCCCCGGGCGACCCCCCAUGCCGACUGAAUCAGAAGAUCUGGGGUGGAGCCCGCCCCAGCUUUGUAACGACAGCCGGGGGUGGGCUGUGCAGCCCUACUGUGUGCUCAGCCUGGCGUGGGAGGUGGAGCUGGGCCUCAGUUUCCCCAUCUCCACAAUGAGAACAGAAGUCCCCACGUCCCAGGGCCGUUGUGACGAAAGUGUACAAGACCUUGUCAUCCAGAAAAAGCUCUCAAGUUGCUUCCUGUUUUAUUCUGGCAUGAAGAGGCUCCAGCGCACUCAGGGGCACGGACCUGGGUAUUUACCCAGCUGAUUUGAAAACAUACGUCCACCCCAAACCCUGUGCGUGAACCCUCAUGGUGGCUUUAUUCGUAAUGGCCAAAAACUGGAGGCAACCAAGAUGUCCUUCAGUGGGUGAUGGAUACACAGGCUGAGGUCCAUCCAGACAGAGAAAUAUUCUGAACAAUGAAAAGAAAUGAGCUGUCAAGCCACAGAAAGACAUGGAUGAGUCUUAAAUGCAUAUUGCUGCUUAGAAGCCAAAGAGAAAAGGCCAUGUAUUGUCCCAUUCCAUGUAUACGACGUUCUGGAAAAGGACAGAAGCGUACAGCUGGCAAACACACCACUGGUUGCCAGGGGUUCACUGGGGGAAGGUUGAGUAGUUGGAACACUGAGGGUUUUUUUUAGGAAGGUGAAACUAUUCUCUAGGAUACCGUAAUGGUGGAUACACGACACGAUGCGCUUGUCAAAACCCACGGGACUUAGAGCACCCACAGGGAGCCUUGCUGUCUGCCAACUUAAAAGAUUACUCGGGAGGGCGGGGAAUCCAGGGUGCAAUGCGGCCUGUGACAGAAGAGGCCACCUGGGGCACAAAUGUAGGACACGACCUCACUGAAGUGGGUGGAGGAAAAAGCCGCUGGCCUGAUAGCUUUGGAAAUGAGUGUGGUUUGCAGAAAUACAGGAGAGAGGAUGUGUGUGUGUGUGAGACUGUACCCCAGCUGAUAAAGCUGCUUCCCCGGGCUGUGGGUCCACAGCUAUGACGCUGCUGUCCACAUACCCUGGAACUGAGCCGUGAACCGUGGCGGGAGCCAGGCUGGCCACCUCGGAGGGGGAGUGACAGGUAAGCAGAGGGGAUGCUAGAAUGAGCCAUGGGUGAUGGAUUAGAGUUGGAGACAUCAGUAUGGACUCAGGUUCAGCUUCACACAGAUGGCCACAUACAGGAACUUCUGUAGAUAUGUGUGCGUUACACGGGUUAGGGGACACACAUGAAUUUCCUUGCUCUGUCAGUUGAGAGAGACUAGAAGCAAUGGGAAGCUCCCAGAAGCAACGAGCACACAAGCACCCAGAGCUUGGGGUCUAACACCAUUCUCCAAUGAGAGGACCAGGGAUCCCUGGAGAAAUGGCUGAUUCUAGGGCUCUGGGCAGGAAACGUGCACAAUGCACCCGGAGCAUCGCGUUGUGCCAGAGGUAAAGAGGUGCAGGAGCAACAGUGAAAACACAAGAGGUGCGUCCGAGGGACACGGGGGCAACCACACAGCUCCCAGCCGCCAGGGCUGGAACAGCUGCAGCCGGAGCAGAAGAAAUAAAGUCGUACUGGAUUAUAACUCGAGUAUAACAGACAGGUCUGCGAGUUCCUCCUCACAUAAAUAAAGGGCUGAAUAAAUAAACAAAUGGGCUGGAGGAAUUCCAAAUGGUUCAUGCAGAUGCUCAGGCCGCCCUCGCAGAGGGGGGAGCUUAAUCCUACUCCUUGACUGUGGGCUGUGCGGUGACUUCCCGAUGAAGAGGAGAGCACAGGGAGGAGAAGAUGAGUAACGUCGCAGGGGAGAAGCCUGGCAGACCCGGCCUCAGCCGGUGCUCGAGGUCAAACCGAUGGGCGAAGUGCUGGUCACAGCAUCCCUCCUGAUGCCGUGUGAGGGGAAGGGCGCUCCCCUCUGUGCUCUUCAUCCUCAUGCCCAGCACCCCAGUCGUGUGAGACACCUCAGACAAGUCCCGACGGAAGGACAGUCUCCAGAGUCCCUACUGGUCCUCCUCUAAAUGGUCCAGGCAUCAAAAACAGGACAGUCUGAGAAAUGGUCACGGCCCAGAGGAGCCCGAGGAGACGGGACGACUCCCUGACAUAGGGGAUCCUGGAUGGGAUCCCGGGAUGGAGAAAGGGCAUUAGGUACAAAACGAAGAAAAGCCAAAUAGAGCGUGGGCCUGAGCGAGAACGUAUCAGUGCUGGUCCACUGUCACGACACGCGGACCACAGGACCGUGACGUGUCAGCGUCGGGGGACUGGGCUGGGGUCCAUAGGAACUCUCUGUGCUUCCUUUGAACUCCUUGUAAAUCUAAGACUAUUCUAAAAUAAAAAAGGUGAUUUAGAAAAUUCAAGGAGCAAGUGUCCGUAAGAAAUGUCACAAAUGUCGCGUGCCCGUCGACUCGCG
rnacentral:lncRNA from 1 species